AUUGAACGCUGGCGGCAGGCCUAACACAUGCAAGUCGAACGGUAACAGGAAGCAGCUUGCUGCUUUGCUGACGAGUGGCGGACGGGUGAGUAAUGUCUGGGAAACUGCCUGAUGGAGGGGGAUAACUACUGGAAACGGUAGCUAAUACCGCAUAACGUCGCAAGACCAAAGAGGGGGACCUUCGGGCCUCUUGCCAUCGGAUGUGCCCAGAUGGGAUUAGCUAGUAGGUGGGGUAACGGCUCACCUAGGCGACGAUCCCUAGCUGGUCUGAGAGGAUGACCAGCCCCACUGGAACUGAGACACGGUCCAGACUCCUACGGGAGGCAGCAGUGGGGAAUAUUGCACAAUGGGCGCAAGCCUGAUGCAGCCAUGCCGCGUGUAUGAAGAAGGCCUUCGGGUUGUAAAGUACUUUCAGCGGGGAGGAAGGGAGUAAAGUUAAUACCUUUGCUCAUU
rnacentral:rRNA from 1 species